rnacentral:rRNA from 1 species
GCCUUCGGGUUGUAAACCUCUUUCAGUAGGGAAGAAGCGAAAGUGACGGUACCUGCAGAAGAAGCGCCGGCUAACUACGUGCCAGCAGCCGCGGUAAUACGUAGGGCGCAAGCGUUAUCCGGAAUUAUUGGGCGUAAAGAGCUCGUAGGCGGUUUGUCGCGUCUGCCGUGAAAGUCCGGGGCUUAACCCCGGAUCUGCGGUGGGUACGGGCAGACUAGAGUGAUGUAGGGGAGACUGGAAUUCCUGGUGUAGCGGUGAAAUGCGCAGAUAUCA